ensembl:lncRNA
UGAAGAGUCAUCAGGGAAGGGAGUGGGAGGGCACACAGUACAGCUGAUCAUUGAAGGUACCUCCACUGUGUCUGUCCCACCAACUAACCAGACUAACACGACUCUUCUCUCUACCCACCCAGGUACCUCAGAGACGGGUCCCUCAGUGAUGGUAAUAGUUAUUUGUGUGUUAUUAUCCCUGACUGUGUGUCUGUGUGUCGCUGUGGGGAUGUUCUACAUCAGAAUGAAAAAGAGGAACACACACACUCCAGUGAGUGAAAAGAAAGAGCCUGACGAUUUGGUGUACGUCCAGGUGACCACUAGUAGCAACGGCAGAAGACAAAUAUCAGACAUUCAAGGUACAAGAGUGGAAACAGAGGAUGUGGUGUAUUCUGGCGUUGCCAUGGCAAAUAGGAGCAGCAGGCAUAAAAGCAGGAAGCCACCAGCAGGUGAGUCUCUGAAAGAGGGUAUUUAUUCACACACACACACUUACACACACACAUACACACAAAGACACACAUAUACUUACAGACAUGUGUAUAAUAUAAUGUAGUAUAAUAAUCAGAAUUUAAGUGUAUUGAAAUCAUCUGUGCUGUGUUGCAUUGUCUCACUUGACUUACAUUUACAUUUACAUUUAGUCAUUUAGCAGACGCUUUUGUCCAAAGCGACGUACAAGGGAGAAAACAGUCAAGCUAAGAGCAAUAAAAAACAUGGUGUAAAAAUAAAUACUACUUUACAUAAGAAUUAGAAAAACGACCUAGAAAGGAAAAAGAAGUGCAGGAAUGUAACUGCUGAAGUGCAAGUUAAGCGCUAGUCAAGGUGCCAGUUAGGAAGGGAGGACUUACAGAGAAGAAAGCUACUGAUCUAUAUAAAAUACAGAACAGACCAUUGCCAUGAGGAGCAUUGUAACUGGUUCAGUAAUGUCAAAGUAUCAGCAGAGUGAGAACAUGUUAGACUGGUUAGCCCCUGUUAAGGACAGAUGCCCAUGGUGUGCAGACUAACUAGAUAAGUGACGGCUGGUCAAACUUGGAGAAAAGGAAGUUAGAUACUGCAACAAAGACUAACACAAACGCUGUGAGCUCUUUUUUGUGUCCAGAAGCAGGUCUCAGUUCUGAUACGUUAGUGUCAGUAUCAUGACUUAAGUGAGUGUUCAGUUUUUGGGAUAAGUAGCCCGUAUUCACAAACAACCGAUA